GAGUAACGCGUGGGUAACCUGCCCUGUACAGGGGGAUAACAGUCAGAAAUGACUGCUAAUACCGCAUAAGACCACAGCACCGCAUGGUGCAGGGGUAAAAACUCCGGUGGUACAGGAUGGACCCGCGUCUGAUUAGCUGGUUGGUGAGGUAACGGCUCACCAAGGCGACGAUCAGUAGCCGGCUUGAGAGAGUGAACGGCCACAUUGGGACUGAGACACGGCCCAAACUCCUACGGGAGGCAGCAGUGGGGAAUAUUGCACAAUGGGGGAAACCCUGAUGCAGCGACGCCGCGUGAGUGAAGAAGUAUCUCGGUAUGUAAAGCUCUAUCAGCAGGGAAGAAAAUGACGGUACCUGACUAAGAAGCCCCGGCUAACUACGUGCCAGC
rnacentral:rRNA from 1 species